rnacentral:rRNA from 1 species
CACGUAGUUAGCCGGUGCUUAUUCUUCAGGUACCGUCAUCAGACAGGGGUAUUAACCCCGCCCUUUUCUUCCCUGACAAAAGUCCUUUACAACCCGAAGGCCUUCUUCAGACACGCGGCAUGGCUGGAUCAGGCUUGCGCCCAUUGUCCAAAAUUCCCCACUGCUGCCUCCCGUAGGAGUCUGGGCCGUGUCUCAGUCCCAGUGUGGCGGAUCAUCCUCUCAGACCCGCUACUGAUCGUCGCCUUGGUAGGCCUUUACCCCACCAACUAGCUAAUCAGAUAUCGGCCGCUCAAACAGCGCAAGGCCAAAUGGUCCCCUGCUUUCUUCCUCAGAAAAUAUGCGGUAUUAGCUAAUCUUUCGAUUAGUUAUCCCCCACUGCCCGGUACGUUCCGAUAUGUUACUCACCCGUUCGCCACUCGCCACCCAAGAAGCAAGCUUCUCUGUGCUGCCGUCCGACUUGCAUGUGUAAAGCAUGCCGCCAGCGUUCAAUCUGAGCCAGGAUA